AUUGAACGCUGGCGGCAGGCUUAACACAUGCAAGUCGAGCGAGCGGGGGACGGGUGCGUAAUGUCUGGGAAACUGCCUGAUGGAGGGGGGUAACUAAUGGAAACGGGAACUCAUACCGCCUAACCUCAGAAGGGCCAAGAUGGGGUUAGCUAGUAGGUGGGGUAAUGGCUCACCUAGGCGACGAUCCCUAGCUGGUCUGAGAGGAUGACCAGCCACACUGUAACUGAGACACGGUCCAGACUCCUACGGGAGGCAGCAGUGGGGAAUAUUGCACAAUGGGCGCAAGCCUGAUGCAGCCAUGCCGCGUGUGUGAAGAAGGCCUUCGGGUUGUAAAGCACUUUCAGCGAGGAGGCGUUACUCGCAGAAGAAGCACCGGCUAACUCCGUGCCAGCAGCCGCGGUAAUAC
rnacentral:rRNA from 1 species